UCUUCCCAAUCUCAUCAACCACACUCAGAUCUUUACAUAUCUCUACCUUAAACCUAACCACCGCUUCUUCCCUCUUCCCCAAUCGAAUCUUCUCGAAUCCUACCAAAUGCUUCCUCGGCGAUCCGUGAAUCGCCGGCGGCGUCGUGAAUAGAAACACCGUGUGAAUCCCUUCUCUAUCUCCUCCGUUUCGUACCUUGAUAUGAACUUCAAACGCCGAUCCACCGCCGGAGACAGCGUUUUCGCAGUGCGGUCCGAUCGCGUCUAGCGAUUGACAUUCCGAUGAUCGGCAAACGUGAUUCUCUUCGAGACCGAGAGAAACGAGACUUGGAGCUUUGACUAAAGUGUGACUGAAUUUGGUGUAGCUGAGUCCAUCUCCGAAUGCGUAUACUGUUUCUCCGGUGUAGAAUCGGUAAGUCCGACCCGGAUACCCGCUUGCUUUAUCGGGUCUCAUGUUCAUUAUUGUCAUCGGAACUUUCUCUACAUACGACUGUGGAUACCACGUCAUCGAGUCUCUUACUUGGAUUAUAACGGCCAAAGAUGAUAUCAGCAAUGGCGAUACCACCGGCUUCUCCGGGAUAACCAACCCACAAAAUUCCGGCGAUCUUUGGGUCAUUCUUAGCGAAUGUAAUAUCGAAACCUCCACCGGACAUAAUGACGAGCAAGACCGGUCCUUUUGCUGCUUUAGCCACUUGGAUCACCAGCUCUUGUUGCUGUCCAGGAAGAUGCAGGUCGACUCUGUCUCGGCUCUCUGCCUCGAUUGAUUGAUCGGCACCGAUCACAAGCACAGACACAUCUGCAGUGGCUGCUAGUUUCGUGGCGCCGGCUACAUCCGCUACAGCACAAGCUACAUUGGAGCAGCCUGGUAGAUAUGUUGUAGAUACCGUCCCGGCUAGUCCUUGUAGUGGUGUUGUGUAUUUACACGGCGUGCCUUCGUAGUUUCCAAUCAUUGUUUUGGUGACAUUCGCGUUUGGUCCAAUCACGGCUAGUGUUUUGAUCGAUUUAGGAGAAAGCGGUAAGCAUCCAGUAUUCUUGAGUAGAACAAUGCCUUGUCUUGCUGCAUCUGCUGCUAGCUCUUGAUUCGCAGACGUGCAAACGUCGGUAGGACCUAACCCGCCAUAGAUUUGGUUCUUUGGGUUUCCAUCAAAGAAUCCUAAACGCAUAAGGGUCAAAAAGUUGUUCGAAAUCGCUUUAUCGAUAGCUGCCUCGUUUACCAAACCCGACUUAACUGCUUCCUCUGUAUGUUGACCCAAGAAUGAACCACAGUUUAAAUCCAAACCUGCCAAUAUAGAUAUGGCUGCAGCUUCAGCUGGAGUCUUUGUAUAGUGUUGGUUCUUAUACAAGACAUCUACUGAAUCACAAUCUGAAA